rnacentral:rRNA from 1 species
GGGCCCGCACAAGCGGUGGAGCAUGUGGUUUAAUUCGAUGAUACGCGAGGAACCUUACCAGGGCUUAAAUGCAGAGCGAAUAGUUUGGAAACAGGCUAGCCUUCGGGCGAUCUGCAAGGUGCUGCAUGGCUGUCGUCAGCUCGUGCUGUGAAGUGUCGGGUUAAGUCCCAUAACGAGCGCAACCCCCAUUUCUAGUUGCCAGCGGUUCGGCCGGGGACUCUAGAGAAACUGCCAGCGUAAGCUGUGAGGAAGGUGGGGAUGACGUCAAAUCAUCACGGCCCUUACAUCCUGGGCCACACACGUGCUACAAUGGUGGGGACAACAGGUUGCCAACCCGCGAGGGUGAGCCAA